rnacentral:rRNA from 1 species
AACGAACGCUGGCGGCAGGCCUAACACAUGCAAGUCGAGCGAGGACUUCGAUCCUAGCGUCGGACGGAGGAGUAACGCGUGGUAACGUGCCCUUUUCUUCGGAAUAGCCCUGGGAAACUUGGAGUAAUACAGGAGGAGCCCUUUGGGGGAAAGAUCUAGCGGCGAAGGAUCGGCCGGCGUUGGAUGAGGUAGUUGGUGGGGUAAUGGCCUACCAAGCCGACGGUCCGUAGCGGGAUGGUGAGGAUGAGCAGCCACACUGGGACUGAGACAAGGCCCAGACUCGUACGGGAGGCCGCAGUGGGGAAUCUUAGACCAUGGGGGCAACCCUGAGCUAGCCAUGCUGCGUGAGCGAUGAAGGCCUUAGGGUUGUAAAGCUAUAUCAGCUGGGAAGAUAAUGACGGUAACAGCAGAAGAAGCCCCGGCUAACUCCGUG